rnacentral:rRNA from 1 species
GAUGAACGCUGGCGGCGUGCCUAAUACAUGCAAGUCGAGCGAACGGACGAGAAGCUUGCUUCUCUGAUGUUAGCGGCGGACGGGUGAGUAACACGUGGAUAACCUACCUAUAAGACUGGGAUAACUUCGGGAAACCGGAGCUAAUACCGGAUAAUAUUUUGAACCGCAUGGUUCAAAAGUGAAAGACGGUCUUGCUGUCACUUAUAGAUGGAUCCGCGCUGCAUUAGCUAGUUGGUAAGGUAACGGCUUACCAAGGCAACGAUGCAUAGCCGACCUGAGAGGGUGAUCGGCCACACUGGAACUGAGACACGGUCCAGACUCCUACGAGAGGCAGCAGUAGGGAAUCUUCCGCAAUGGGCGAAAGCCUGACGGUGCAACGCCGCGUGAGUGAUGAAGGUCUUCGGAUCGUAAAACUCUGUUAUUAGGGAAGAACAUAUGUGUAAGUAACUGUGCACAUCUUGACGGUACCUAAUCAGAAAGCCACGGCUAACUACGUG